UCCCAGACUCCUACGGGAGGCAGCAGUGGGGGAUAUUGCACAAUGGGGGAAACCCUGAUGCAGCGACGCCGCGUGUGGGAAGACGGUCUUCUGGAUUGUAAACCACUGUCCCCAGGGACGAAAAUGACGGUACCUGAGUAAGAAGCCCCGGCUAACUACGUGCCAGCAGCCGCGGUAAUACGUAGGGGGCAAGCGUUAUCCGGAUUUACUGGGUGUAAAGGGAGCGUAGACGGCAGUGCAAGUCUGGAGUGAAAGGCGGGGGCUCAACCCCCGGACUGCUCUGGAAACUGUACGGCUGGAGUGCAGGAGAGGUAGGUGGAAUUCCUAGUGUAGCGGUGAAAUGCGUAGAUAUUAGGAGGAACACCAGUGGCGAAGGCGGCUUACUGGACUGUAACUGACGUUGAGGCUCGAAAGCGUGGGGAGCAAACAGGAUUAGAUACCCGCGUAAUA
rnacentral:rRNA from 1 species